rnacentral:rRNA from 1 species
CAGUCGCCGCGGUAAUACGUAGGUGGCAAGCGUUGUCCGGAAUUAUUGGGCGUAAAGGGCUCGCAGGCGGUUUCUUAAGUCUGAUGUGAAAGCCCCCGGCUCAACCGGGGAGGGUCAUUGGAAACUGGGGAACUUGAGUGCAGAAGAGGAGAGUGGAAUUCCACGUGUAGCGGUGAAAUGCGUAGAGAUGUGGAGGAACACCAGUGGCGAAGGCGACUCUCUGGUCUGUAACUGACGCUGAGGAGCGAAAGCGUGGGGAGCGAACAGGAUUAGAUACCCCCGUAGUCCCUGUCUCUUAUAC